UUCACACCUGCCCAUUAACACCUGGGAGUUUUUUUUGGCUUCUCCAUUGUUCAUAUAAUUACAUCUUUAUCUGAACAGUGUAAGAGAGCCAGGGGUUCCUUAGGGAGACCCCCCUUGGGGUGGCCCGGCCUUGUGCCGCCCCCUAUUUUUUCUCCCCCCAUCGGAGAAUCUUCAUUAAGAGGUUUCAACGAUGGACAAGAAGCAGAGAAAUCCAUCUCUUCUGACGCUGUACUCCGUCCUGAAGGACUUCAGGGCGGAAUAUACAGACUUUGAGGCCCUCGCUUCUUAUUAUG